rnacentral:ncRNA from 1 species
CGUUGGGCUAGUAAUCCUGCUCAGUACUAGAGGAACCGCAGGUUCGGACACUUGGUACAUGUGCCUGGUCGAGUGACCAGUGAUACGAAGCUACCAUCCGUGGAAUUACGACUGAACGCCUCUAAGUCAGAAUCCCACCUAAUGAGUGCAACG